UACGUAGGGCGCAAGCGUUGUCCGGAAUUAUUGGGCGUAAAGAGCUCGUAGGCGGUCUGUCGCGUCUGCCGUGAAAACCCGAGGCUUAACCUCGGGCUGGCGGUGGAUACGGGCAGACUAGAGGUAGGUAGGGGAGAAUGGAAUUCCCGGUGUAACGGUGAAAUGCGCAGAUAUCGGGAGGAACACCGGUGGCGAAGGCGGUUCUCUGGGCCUUACCUGACGCUGAGGAGCGAAAGCGUGGGGAGCGAACAGG
rnacentral:rRNA from 1 species